GACGAACGCUGACAGCAUGCUUAACACAUGCAAGUCGACUUGAAUUUGGGUUUUUAACUUAGGUUUGGGUGGCGGACGGGUGAGUAACGCGUAAAGAACUUGCCUCACAGCUAGGGACAACAUUUGGAAACGAAUGCUAAUACCUAAUAUUAUGAUAAUAGGGCAUCCUAUAAUUAUGAAAGCUAUAAGCGCUGUGAGAGAGCUUUGCGUCCCAUUAGCUAGUUGGAGAGGUAACGGCUCACCAAGGCGAUGAUGGGUAGCCGGUCUGAGAGGGUGAUCGGCCACAAGGGGACUGAGACACGGCCCUUACUCCUACGGGAGGCAGCAGGGGGGAAUGUUGGACAAUGGACCGAGAGUCUGAUACAGCAAUUCUGUGUGCACGAUGAAGUUUUUCGGAAUGUAAAGUGCUUUCAGUUGGGAAGAAACAAAUGACGGUACCAACAGAAGAAGUGACGGCUAAAUACGUG
rnacentral:rRNA from 1 species